rnacentral:rRNA from 1 species
GAUGAACGCUGGCGGCGUGCCUAAUACAUGCAAGUCGAGCGAACAGACGAGGAGCUUGCUCCUCUGACGUUAGCGGCGGACGGGUGAGUAACACGUGGAUAACCUACCUAUAAGACUGGGAUAACUUCGGGAAACCGGAGCUAAUACCGGAUAAUAUAUUGAACCGCAUGGUUCAAUAGUGAAAGACGGUUUUGCUGUCACUUAUAGAUGGAUCCGCGCCGCAUUAGCUAGUUGGUAAGGUAACGGCUUACCAAGGCAACGAUGCGUAGCCGACCUGAGAGGGUGAUCGGCCACACUGGAACUGAGACACGGUCCAGACUCCUACGGGAGGCAGCAGUAGGGAAUCUUCCGCAAUGGGCGAAAGCCUGACGGAGCAACGCCGCGUGAGUGAUGAAGGGCUUCGGAUCGUAAAACUCUGUUAUUAGGGAAGAACAAAUGUGUAAGUAACUAGGCACGUCUUGACGGUACCUAAUCAGAAAGCCACGGCUAACUACGUG